CUGAGGCAAACAUGUGCAUUGAGUUGCGGCUCUGCCGGUCCCACAGACUGCCCUCUGGGCUCCGCGAGGCCUCUGACGCUGGAGUCCUGGAAAAGUAAAGCUAUUAAUGUAGGAGAGAGAGCAAGCAUGCUGGGAACCGCACAGAACUCUGAAUAUUCCCAUGGGAGUGUGUCAGGUACAAGAAUGUCAGCAGAAGAAAAAAGGAGUGAAAAGUAACAACAGCUGGUUGUGGUCAUAUCAGCGGGAAACAUCCUUACUACUGGCUGACUUGCAAAUUGCCCCUGUCUUUCUUGCCAUUUCAAACAGAGGGACAGGACACAGAGUGGACAAGACAAUUAAAGGGGAUGCAGGCACAUACAAAUCCUGCUUACAAUGGUGAAGAAGGAUCAGUAAAUAAAGAAAUGAUAUAUGAAUACCAAAGACCCACUCAGGAAAAAAAUAUGAAAGAAGUAAUUCAGAAAGAUUAGAUAUAGAGAAAAGAGAAGAGGAAACUACUUUCCUGUGGGGAAAAAAAUACACUUUUUCCUUUUGUGUUAAUAACUUGCUUUUUCAGCUGAUAAAUAAAAUAUGCUUUACACAAAAUGCCCUGAAAGCUUGACAACUAGAUGCUCAUCAAGAUGAAAUUUUUCCUUUCUAUCUGAUAUUCUCGUCUGUAUAAUGAAAGACAUAAUGAUUGUCAAAGGGAGGAAAAAUCAACAUUCUGCAUCUUACACAAGGAUGUCCUCCACCAGGGUGUGAAGGGCACUGGGAUUGCGGAUCAGUUUGUCUAAGAAGCUGACAAUGUCAGUGAAUUUUGGUCUGUGAUUUCUCUCCUUCUGCCAGCAAUGGAGCAUCAGUUGGUGUAGAGAUGCUGGACAGCCCAUGGGAGCUGGAAGUCUGUAACCUUCUUCAAUGGACAGAAUGACCUAAACACAAACAUAUACAGAUUAUUCUUUUACUUUGUGACAUAAAUCAUACAUACGCUAAGUUAUAAUUCCUUUUAUAUCCAGGCACUAGAAGCUGAAAUAUUGGUAAGCAUGAAAACUACCGUGAGAAUGAAUGGUCCAGACAAAGAUAAAUGCAAAAGUGGUGAGUUAAAAAUUGCAAGUAGCUCCAUAGCAUGUGGAGAACCGAACAGAGAAAAAUAAGUUUUUAGACAUGUGCUACCGGUAUACAGAAGGCAGGUUAAGUUUCAUCAUGAAGCCAAGAAAUAGUUUUGUGUUACUGAGCCGGAAUGUCUCAAAACCCAGUUAGAAUAUCAGAAAGUCAGCACAGGAUUGAUGUUUUCAGUGAAAACCACAGGUGACACACGUUUUAAGCAAAAUUGCACUUCUUUUGAAGCACUGAUUUCCUGAAUAAUUUUUUAUCCUUUUAUAAUAAUGUCAAUGUAUAUUCUUUUUCUGUCACUCUUUCUUCUUUAUCACCCAUUUCUCUUUGCUUCUUUUUGUCUUCCCGUUGGUCAGACACUGACCUGACAAUGAAGUCCGCUCAUAAUGUCCAGAGUCAUUUAGUCCCUGAAAUGUUAUCAAAGGCUAGCUUAAACUCACAGAGCAAUAGGGAGCAGUCAGCCCAAUCACAGUCUGCGGCAGCACUUUCCAAGAGAACUUUCUGUGACGAUGGAAAUGUUCUCUGUCCAAUAUGGUAGCCAGCGUGUGGCCACAGAGCACUUAAAACGUGGUUAGUAUGACUGAAGAACUGAAUUUUAAACUUUUGUUGAUUUUAAUUAAUUAAAACUUAAAUCUUAAUAGCCAUGGGGUCUAGUUGCUACUGUCCAGGCAAUGCAGCUCUAUAAGAAAUGGAAGUUAAGAAAGACAAGAUGACAAUAAACACUUCUCUUGGUUCUUAGGAAACCACAUACAAAACAAGAUGGGUCAUUCAUCUGUUUAUUACAUGACCCAUAUGGAAUUUUCCAGCAAUGCAAUAAAAUUGAUUCUGAAUACUGUCGCUUAUUUUCAAAAGUAUUAUUGAAAAGUUCAAAAUUAUUCAUAUUGUUCGAAAGUAUUAGGAACUGUUACUCUUGCAUUAUCUGGGAAGAAAGACAAUGGUUAGGGUUUAUAAUCCUCAUUUUUGAGGUUGGAUAACCAAAGAAUAGACUAAUAUUUUAAAACAGGCAUAACUGAGCAACCUCCUCUCCCUGUGAGUAUCUUACUGCCAACAGAACUCUCUUACUGCAGCACUAUCUAUAUACUCUCUGUAAUUCCUUUUUUGAAAAUUAUGAUUAAAAUAUAUAUAACAAAACUUUUGCCAAUUCAACAUUUUUUACACGUACAAAUCAGUGACUUUGGUUUGUAAUUCAUAUUAAAAAAAAUCAUUGACAUCCUUAUUUUAAUGUUGUAUUUAAAUGACAUAUUUGAGUGGCCCUUAAAUGUCCAUAAUUUACGCUAGAGGCAUAUUGUAAGAAGGAUUAACAGUAUGUCUUCAAGAACCUCUUAACUGCUAAGCUUUAGCUUUUUCAGUAAUAGGGGAUUUCUCACAAUCCCAUCAGUGCUUUGUGACCAGAACACUUCAACCUGUCAGGCCACCAGCAUUUUUCUAUUCAUUUUCUAUUCCAUUAUUGAACAGGAUUUUUGUCUCAUCUGUUUUCUGACUACCUUUGCUACCACCUAGGCAGGGAUUUUAAGAUGAUUUGCUACACAUUUUAGUAAAACAGGACAUGUAUAAAAUGCUUGUAAUGCGUCAAAAUUACUGUGGAUAGUUUUGAAAAGUACCUAAGAAAAAUAUAAUAGAAUUCCAUUACAGAACAACUUUAAAACCCUGCCUCAGGGAAGUCCUUUAGCCAAUUGGCCACAGUUUCCGAACUCUAAGUGCAUGAAUAAAAUAGGUGACAAGUGUGGCUAUAGUCUGAGAAAAAAAAAAAAAAAAAGCUGUCUUUAUUGGGUAUCAUGUGCUAGGUGCUUUAUGUAUUUUUUGCAUUUACUGCUUAAGAUAACCCAACAUGGUAGUUAUUAUUAUCCCUAUUUCUUAAAUGAGAAAAUUUAGACUCAGAGAAGUUAAAAAAAAAACUUGCUGAAACUCACAUAGUCUAGUAGGUGGCAGAGCUAGAAUUUGAACUUAUUUCCUUUCAAUUCCCAAACUUCUCCUCUGGCUAUUACCCAGAAAUGCUUUUCAGUUCUCACGAUAUAGUCUUGAAAUUAUAUAUAAUCUUCCUCUUCAAUUUUAUAAUCAAUCAAUGCCCUGGUGGCACAGUGGUUAAGUGCUCGGCUGCUAACCGAAAAGUUGAUGGUUUGAGCCCACCAGCAGCUCCAUGGAAGAAAGAUGUGGCGGUCUGCUUUGUAAAGAUUACAGCCUUGGAAACAGUAUGGGGCAGUUGUACUGUGUCCUGUAGUGUCACUGUGACUUGGAAUCAACUUGAUGACAAUGGGUUUUUUUUUUUAUCCAUGCUGUAUUUUGUCAUAGCAUCUUCUAUUGGACUUCAUUGUUUUUAUUUGGAUCCUAAGUUGAAUGUUGUUGGUAAAUCAAAAACAUAUUUACUUCUUGGUUUGCAAAAUGUAAUCUCUGAUUGAACACAGUCAUUUCUGAAUGCUUCUGAGUCUUGUACACUUUCUAUUAUUGCAUCUAUUACAUUGUGUUGUAAUACUUUCAUCGGCCUUUCUUCUAAGGCUAUAUAUGCUUGAAGGCAGGAAUUAUGCUUCUAGGCUUUACAUUCUCAUCAUUUAGUGAGGUGCCUGAGACAUUAAUAAAUGUUAUUGACCCCAAACAAAAUGUAUUAGAAGAAAUUUUUGGAUUUAUUUUGAUAGAGAGCCGUUUCUUAGAAAACCUGGAGCCUCAAGCUACCCAAAAUGUCUUCAAAGCACAAAUGAUGACAGCAUUUGAAACCCCCACUAAAGGAAAUACAAAACUAUUAAUUUUUAUAAAAUAAAAAAUUUGGUGCACCAAGCAGAAUUGCCCAAGAACGAUCCCAUGAUCUCAUUCUGGUUUGCCUGAGCAAUGAGCCGGGUAAGACUGGGGGCUUGCCCUUCUCUAAAGAGGGAGGAGCUUCACCCAAACUUAGCUUGCCAUAAGGCCGGUGGCUUCUCCCUUCUGCCCAGAGGGGUUCCUAUUCCCUAUAGGACUCUUCCUACAAGAUCCUUGGCUGCUGGGAAGCUGGUUUUCCCAGGCAACUCCUGUAAAUAGCUGAUACUCAAAUCUAGACUGCUUGGCUCCAAGAGGCUGUCUAUUCCCUCAUGACAAAGUUACCCUCAUGCUUGCACUAUAAAAUUGGGGAAGUGGUGUCUGUCUCCUGGAAUUUUUACCCACAAUGUGUCUACCAGAGUGCCUGGUCCCCAGCAUGACUCUCUGUGGAGACAUUGGGAGGAUCAGGGGACUCACAAUGUUUUUCUUACUGAUCUCUAGCUUUAAAGUUUCCUCAAGCUAUACUUGUAGCCUUGUGAAAUUUGUCCUGAGCCCUGGUGCUAAAAAUGAAGACGAUUUAUAGGACAAUGGAAAUAAUGACGAUAACAAUAGUGAUAAUAACAGCUGACAAAUAUUGAGAGAUCUUAGGUGAUUUUAAGGGUAAAUUCUAAGUGAUUUACAUGUGUUAGCUCUUUUAAUCCUUACAAUAACUCUUUGAAGUAGGUACUAUUGUUAUCUCCAUUUCAGAUAAAGGACUGAGUCAUAGAGAGGUCUAACUUGCCCAGGGUCAUGCAACUAAAAAGUCUGAAUUCAAAGGUAGCCAGAGAAGAGAUCUGGGCAAUUUGAUUCACAAAACUAGUUAAAAGAUAAAACGUAUUUCUAAUGUAGUUUUUUCCUUUAUUCAUCCAAACAUAUAUCUCUUAGAAUGUACUAACGCUGUUCUACUAGUGACUUAGGUCUGAUGUCAGGGAAUCAUUUUGGCCUCUGUCUUCCACCUUGCCCAAAUUUAACAAGUCAUGCUGAUCAUAUCAUCUUCACGUAUUUUCAAUCUAUUCCAUUUUUUAGAUUCUUUGGCCAAAUGAUUUAUUUCUCAUUUUGAUUACUGUAUCAGCCUGCUAACUGGUCUCCCUGUCUCCCUUUUCCCUCCUGCAAUCACCUUUCACAGUGUGCCCAGAGCAGUCCUACUGAAGCAGAACUCUGAUCAUGUUCCUCCCACAUUUGAAAUUCUGCAGUGGCACUCCACGCCAUGGCAUACAGGCCCCUCAAGGUCUUGCCUGGCUCUCGGUCCUCACUUCUGACACCCUCCUGUUGUGCCCUUUGCUCCGACCUCUAAAACCCUCGUAGUCUUGAAGCUGGGUGAGCUGAGCUUCUGCAGAGCAGUGACUGUUUCCUUUUUCCAUAUGUUCCCAGCACCUAGCACAACACAAGUCAAAGAAUGGAGCUCCAAUUGACAGAUAGGUGUUCUACGAAAGCUGUAUUUUAGGGGCAGCUUGAGAAAACCUAUAUUAACCUUUAUCUUCCUAAACAUUUCUUUUGUGAGAAGUUUUGCUUUCUGAGUAUUUUCUGAUUCCUUAAUUAAGGACCGAAGAGGAGCCAGCAGCAUAUGGGGAGCUUUGUCUAAAAGACUAAUUGAGGUUUGUUAUUUUUAGGAUAUGAAGGGGUGAUAAUUAACUAGAGAGAAUUUUGUAGCAGUUUGGUUUUAUGAUAGUCGUUAGCUGUCAUCCUCUGGGAGACAUGUAAGAAAAAAAUUAAAAUAGAGUGAAAAAUAUGAAAAUGACUGCAACAAUAAUUUCCAUACUGAGGUGGAAGGAUUAGAUUCUGUCAGAAAUUAUUAUCUAAAACGAGGCCCAUUCUUCUAAAUAGACUGUACUGGUUCCUUGUCAUCGACACUGCAGUUUUUAACAGCUUAGAAUCAACACGAGGCUCAGCUGGGGCACGUAGCUCUGCUCUUGCUGAAUCUGAUGAGUUUUCCAAUUGUGUUGAUGGUUUCUGAAUCAAGGCAGCAAUGUGUACCUUUUAUUAAACAAGGCAAACAAGGAUUAGACGGUCUGAAGGCACCGAGAUAUCCCUGAACAAUACCACUGAACAAGGCCUGCUUGGGCUGUGCAAGGUACUACAUUUUUAUAAGAUCGCUAAAUGUUGCCAAAAGAGGAGCACAGCAAAUUAGCCUCUGAAAAGGGUUUUCUAUCUGUAUCUUAUUCUUUUACCACCCUAUAUAUAAUGGGAAUCUUUUGCUUCCCUAUACCUGUGCUUCCUGAAAUUAUAGGUUUUCCAUAAAGCCAUGAUUAAUAUUUAAAAUAUUUAGAGGCAAUAUAAAAAUAAAAUCACAUCACAUUCUAUUUACUAGUGUAUAUUCCAGUCCUUGCUAAAUUUUUGAGACAGUUUCUUUUAAAAUGAAAUAUUCAAAGGGUCCCAUUAUACACUUACUUUGUGUGAUAAUGAUUACUUAUACAGAUCAAAAUAUUUAUAUUUAUAAUGUAAGAACUCUGAAAACACUGAUAAUGUAUUUUCCUGGUGUUGAAUAUAAAGGCUAUGUUUACAUGGGGAAAAAAAAGA